AAGUCGUAACAAGGUUUCCGUAGGUGAACCUGCGGAAGGAUCAUUACAGAAAGUAAACGCGGGUCAAACCGCGAACUUCUAAACCUUUGACGAUUGACUCAUGUUGCCUCGGCGGGCUCGCCCGCCAGAGGAUACAUCAAAACUCCUGUUUUAACGGUGUUGUCUGAGCUACAAGCAACGAAUCAAAACUUUCAACAACGGAUCUCUUGGUUCUGGCAUCGAUGAAGAACGCAGCGAAAUGCGAUAAGUAGUGUGAAUUGCAGAAUUCAGUGAAUCAUCGAAUCUUUGAACGCACAUUGCGCCCCUUGGUAUCCCGAGGGGCAUGCCUGUUCGAGCGUCAUUUCACCACUCAAGCCUGGCUUGGUGUUGGGCGACGUCCCCUUUGGGGACGCGCCUCGAAACGCUCGGCGGCGUGGCACCGGCUUUAAGCGUAGCAGAAUCUUUCGCUUUGAAAGUCGGGGCCCCGUCUGCCGGAAGACCUACUCGUAAGGUUGACCUCGGAUCAGGCAGGGAUACCCGCUGAACUUAA
rnacentral:rRNA from 1 species